AUUCCUUCAACACAGGAUCUACACACCUGAAAACCAUAAGGAAGCUGAAGCUGUAAGGAGGGUGAAUAAAAGGUAGUGGUCAGGGGCUGAGGAGAGCUUUUUUCCACCAUAUCUCUUGCUUCUGUGUCCUGGCAGUAAGGAGGUUUCCUGAGGGGCUGCGGUGCUGCCUGAGAAUUUGGCCUAGAUUUCAGCAGAGGAGAUCUCAGGCCAAGACUGCUGGUUCCAGACCUGCCUGCUGUCAGCAGGGUUAUUGGAGGGAGCAGCUUCAGGGUGGUAUGAAAAUGGCAGUGGGAUGAGCCUGGGAUUUCCUCACUACAAGUGGCCAAGCAAGACUACAUCUUUCAAGGGCUCCUAAGGGACCUGGAAAAGAGAAUCAUCGUUUCUUUCCAGUGGAUGCGUAUUCUGGAAGCUUCAGGAAUUCACAGCUGCAAGCCAAAAUUCUUCUGGCUCCUUGUUCAACAAAUAGAGAUGUCUAAUAUCAACCGGCUGACCUAGAUUAUAUCUGAUUCCUUCUCUCAUAUACUUGAAGCAACUGAUUUAAACUACAGAGUCAUUGUCAGCAUACUACAGGACAUCAGCAAAGCAGCCUCUUGGAUUAUGUGAAAAGGCAAGUUACUAGACAAGUCAUUUUGACUGAACCAUUAUUUCUAUGCCUUGAAAAAAAAUGAGGGAAAUUCAGCCAGAGCACAUUAAAACAAAGGCAUCAAGCAGCUCCUACUUUGACAUAACGUGGCAGAUUUUUAGACACAGCCUUGUUCCUUCCUUCAGGCAGGACAAGUACUUUCCCCUUCUCCCUUCCCAAAU